GGGGUUGUGGCUCAGAGGUAGAGUGCUUGCUUUUCAAGCAUGAGGCUCUGGGUUCAAUCCUCAGCACCACA
rnacentral:tRNA from 1 species